AUAUAUAUAAAGAAUGUAAGGUUUUUCAGUGGGAGGCAUUUGGGCAGUGGGGGGUUACUUGUGUAAGCUAUUUGCGAUUUUAAAUGUGGGCUGAAAAUGCUUUGAAGCACCAUAAACACCCAUUAAGAGAAGGUUCUUAUUGUCCGUGCAGGAGAUUUUACUAGAUAGAAGUUAUGUAAUUGCAAGAUCCCUUCUCAUACUUUCAUUUUACACAUUACGUUGUGCUCUCUUUCAAUCAUAUUUUUUGUUCUCUAUAUUAACAUUAAAUUUUUUGAUAUACUAACAAACUUAAAUGGCUGUUCAUUUAAUUCAGGAACAGCCAUUUGAUGGAGCAGUUGGACCGCCAAACUUGAUGCACACCAGUUUUUUUUGUGGGUGACCAUUUUCUUUCAUUUAGAAAUUUCCAGUUUUGAUGCACAUUAAAGAUUGAACGGGCAUGUAGGGAUCAUGUGAGGAUUGCUGCUGAGCAUGGUCAUUUUUUGAGGUAGACUAAAGUAUGAAUACAAGUUUUGAUAUGUGGCCAUACAUUGAUAAGAAUGGAUCAGAGAGAUUGAAAGGCUGGAUAAUGCUGAACAAUGAAUCCCCCCCCACUUGAUGCAAACGUGUUGAAGCUGUUCUACCCAAUGCCCAGGUGCACAUUGUUAUCGAUGACAUUAACUAAUUCUAACUAUAGAAGAGCAGGACAGUUGAACAAUUGUUGAUGAAUGUGGAGAUUUUCAAUUAAUGUUUAGGAGCAAUAAAUGGGAUCUAUAUAUUUAGUAGUUUGUAUGUACUGUAGGUUUUGCAAGUAGAAAUUGGUCCACCCUUGUGUAUAUAGCCCAUGCCUGCACAUUAAUGUGAAUUUCCCAUUGAGUUUAGAUGAAUGAAUGUGUUUGAUUUAUUAUAUUUCUCAGGAAAAUGUUUUUUCCUAUAAUGAAAAUAGUGAAAGAAUUUUCCUCUAUA